rnacentral:rRNA from 1 species
CCUACGGGUGGCAGCAGUAGGGAAUAUUGGUCAAUGGGCGAAACCCUGAACCAGCCAAGUCGCGUGGAGGAUGAAUGUUUUAUGAUUUGUAACUCUCUUUGUUAGAGAAGAUAAUGAUGGUAUCUAACGCAUAAGCACUGGCUAACUCCGGGCCAGCAGCCGGGGUACUACGGGGGGUGCAAGCGUGAUUCGGAAUCACGGGGCGUUAAGAGCGUGUAGGGGGGUUAGCAAGUCAGAUGGGAAAUCGUAGGGUUUAAACAUAGAACUGCAUUUGAGACUGUUAUUCUAGAGUAUGGGAGAGGUAGGUGGAAUUCUUGGAGUAGGGGUGAAAUGCAUAGAUAUCAAGAGGAAUACUGAGAGCGAAGGCGGCCUGCUAGAACAUGACUGACGCUGAUGCGCGAGAGCGUGGGGAGCGAACAGGAUUAGAUACCCCAGUAGUC